UGAAGAAGAAAAACCAAAACCGGAUUCCAUAUUCUCCCAAUCCAGGAUCUUGUCCUAUAGUAAUAUGUUGCCACCACCUGAACAUCAGUCUAGCAGACCUUUUACCUUAUUAUGCACACAGCACACUUGGCAUGAAAAGAAAGGGUAUCCUUGGCUAGAUUUGCUUCUGUCGUGGCUGAAAAGGUGAAGUGACCCGCUCUGAAAACCUGAAGCCCUUGGACUCUCAGGUCACUGCAUUGGGUGGUCUAAUUAGAAAAACAAGUGAAGCAUUUUAGCCACCAACAUAGUGGUGACAUUUGGUGAAGUUUAAAAAUCUUUAAUUAUUACUUACACUUUACGUAUUUACCAAAAUGUUAUGUAUCUCCUUGAUGUUUAAUAAAAUCACUUUUAAAAUCC
rnacentral:antisense_RNA from 1 species